rnacentral:piRNA from 1 species
UCUCCAACAAGAGAAUAGUAGGCUGCAUC